GCCCACCACCCUCUAGUCUGCAGCUCCGCUGUGUGCAGAACUGCAGACUGUUAAUUAGUUGUCCGCAAACUCUGGCCCAUCAGAGUGUUGCCGUGGGUUACCAAGGCAACACUCUGAACAAGUGCCAGAGUUCACAAGACAACUAACUCAUAGUCUACAACCCUGACCCCCCAGGGAAUCAAUUAUUGCCCCCUCACUACCUG